rnacentral:rRNA from 1 species
UACGUAGGGUCCGAGCGUUGUCCGGAAUUACUGGGCGUAAAGGGCGCGUAGGCGGCCAGCACAAGUCAGUUGUGAAAUCUCCGAGCUUAACUCGGAACGGUCAACUGAUACUGUGCGGCUAGAGUGCGGAAGGGGCAACUGGAAUUCUUGGUGUAGCGGUGAAAUGCGUAGAUAUCAAGAGGAACACCUGCGGCGAAGGCGGGUUGCUGGGCCGACACUGACGCUGAGGCGCGAAAGCCAGGGGAGCGAACGGG